CCUACGGGAGGCAGCAGUGAGGAAUAUUGGUCAAUGGGCGCGAGCCUGAACCAGCCAAGUCGCGUGAAGGAAGAAUGCCCUACGGGUUGUAAACUUCUUUUAUGAGGGAAUAAAGUGAGGCACGUGUGCCUUUUUGUAUGUACUUUAUGAAUAAGGAUCGGCUAACUCCGUGCCAGCAGCCGCGGUAAUACGGAGGAUCCGAGCGUUAUCCGGAUUUAUUGGGUUUAAAGGGAGCGUAGAUGGGUUGUUAAGUCAGUUGUGAAAGCUUCGGGCUCAACCCGAGAAUUGCAAUUGAUACUGGCAGGCUUGAGUACAGUUGAGGUAGGCGGAAUUCGUGGUGUAGCGGUGAAAUGCUUAGAGAUCACGCAGAACACCGAUUGCGAAGGCAGCCUACUAAACGGCCACUGACAUUGAUGCUCGAAAGCGUGGGUAUCAAACAGGAUUAGAUACCCUGGUAGUC
rnacentral:rRNA from 1 species